GCCAAAAAGAAUGUGUACUAUCUCUAUUAUAGCUUGAACUUUACAAACUUGACACUAUAUUUCAAUAACACCUUUAUUGCAACCUAUAACCUCUUGCUAUUCCAUACUAUUAAGCAUUAGCUCUAAAAUUGAUUCUACCUCUCUAAUUUCUAAGAUGUCCACUAUAUUUUGAACCUCUAAAUUCUCUGCAAUCUUUAUUGAAGCUA
rnacentral:lncRNA from 1 species